rnacentral:lncRNA from 1 species
AUGGGUGGGACCACCAGCACCCGCCGGGUCACCUUCGAGGCGGACGAGAAUGAGAACAUUACCGUGGUGAAGGGCAUCCGGCUUUCAGAAAAUGUGAUUGAUCGAAUGAAGGAAUCCUCUCCAUCUGGUUCGAAGUCUCAGCGGUAUUCUGGUGCUUAUGGUGCCUCAGUUUCUGAUGAAGAAUUGAAAAGAAGAGUAGCUGAGGAGCUGGCAUUGGAGCAAGCCAAGAAAGAAUCUGAAGAUGAGAAACGACUAAAGCAGCCAAAGAGCUGGACCGAGAGAGGGUUGCUGCCAAUGAGCAGUUAACCAGAGCCAUCCUUCGGGAGAGGAUAUCUAGCGAGGAGGAACGCGCUAAGGCAAAGCACCUGGCUAGGCAGCUGGAAGAGAAAGACCGAGUGCUAAAGAAGCAGGAUGCAUUCUACAACGAACAGCUGGCUAGACUGGAGAAGAGGAACUCAGAGUUCUUCAGAGUCACCACUGAACAAUAUCAGAAAGCUGCUGAAGAGGUGGAAGCAAAGUUCAAGCGGUAUGAGUCUCAUCCAGUCUGUGCUGAUCUGCAGGCCAAAAUUCUUCAGUGUUACCGUGAGAACACCCACCAGACCUUCAAAUGCUCCACUCUGGCCACCCAGAGUGGCCAUGC